rnacentral:rRNA from 1 species
CACGUGGGGCGCGAGCGUUGUCCGGAAUUAUUGGGCGUAAAGAGCUCGUAGGCGGCCUGUUGCGUCCGCUGUGAAAGCCCGGGGCUUAACCCCGGGUCGGCAGUGGAUACGGGCAGGCUAGAGGUAGGUAGGGGAGAACGGAAUUCCUGGUGUAGCGGUGAAAUGCGCAGAUAUCAGGAGGAACACCGGUGGCGAAGGCGGUUCUCUGGGCCUGUUCUGACGCUGAGGAGCGAAAGCGUGGGGAGCGAACAGG